CACAACUUCCGGAAGGAGGCGGAAGAGCCUCUCGGGUCUACGUUCCGGAGUCCCGGGACCAGUGAGGGGCCACCCGGGGCACAGGAAAGGGCCUUUGGGGGAGGGCCGGCUGCACUCGGGGUGUCUGGGCCGCGGGUCUGAGGGAUGAGGAGGGGCCAUGGCCAGCGACGGGGCCAGGAAGCAGUUCUGGAAGCGCAGCAACAGCAAGCUCCCGGCAUCCAGCAUGUGUAUGGCGCCCAGCACCCCCCCUUUGAUCCACUGUUACAUGGCACUUUGCUGAAGUCCACGGCCAAGAUGCCGACCACACCGGUGAAGGCCAAGAGGGUCAGCACCUUUCAGGAGUUCGAGAGCAAUACCAGCGAUGCCUGGGACGCUGGGGAGGACGACGACGAGCUCCUGGCCAUGGCGGCGGAGAGCCUGAACUCCGAGGUGGUCAUGGAGACGGCCAACCGGGUGCUGCGUAACCACAGCCAGCGGCAGGGGCGGCCCACGCUUCAGGAGGGGCCGGAGCUUCAGCAGAAACCCAGGCCUGAGGCAGAGCCGCCCUCACCUCCCAGCGGUGACCUCCGGCUGGUGAAGUCUGUCAGUGAGAGCCACACGUCCUGUCCUGCAGAAAGUGCCAGCGAUGCCGCCCCUCUGCAGAGGUCCCAGUCUCUCCCACACGCGGCCACCGUCACGCUGGGUGGCACAUCUGACCCCAGCACCCUCGGCAGCUCAGCGCUGAGCGAAAGAGAGGCCUCCCGGCUCGACAAGUUCAAGCAGCUGCUUGCCGGCCCCAACACAGACCUUGAGGAAUUACGGAAGUUGAGCUGGUCCGGAAUCCCUAAGCCAGUGCGUCCAAUGACGUGGAAGCUCCUCUCAGGUUACCUUCCUGCCAACGUAGACCGGAGACCAGCCACUCUCCAGAGAAAACAAAAAGAAUAUUUUGCAUUUAUUGAGCACUAUUACGAUUCUAGGAACGACGAAGUUCACCAGGACACAUACAGGCAGAUCCAUAUAGACAUCCCUCGCAUGAGCCCUGAAGCGUUGAUCCUGCAGCCCAAGGUGACGGAGAUUUUUGAAAGGAUCUUGUUUAUAUGGGCGAUCCGCCACCCCGCCAGUGGAUACGUUCAGGGGAUAAAUGAUCUCGUCACUCCCUUCUUUGUGGUCUUCAUUUGUGAAUACAUAGAAAUAAGCAGACAUGUUACAAAGCAGGAAACACAAAUGACUAAUAAGCUGAAAAAACCAUCUAACUUCACAGAGGCAGAGGAGGUGGACACGGUGGACGUCUCCGGCGUGCCCGCAGAGGUGCUGCGCAACAUUGAAGCCGACACCUACUGGUGCAUGAGCAAGCUGCUGGACGGCAUUCAGGAUAACUACACCUUUGCCCAACCUGGAAUUCAAAUGAAAGUGAAAAUGUUAGAAGAACUCGUGAGCCGGAUAGAUGAGCAAGUGCACCGGCACCUGGACCAGCACGAGGUGAGAUACCUGCAGUUUGCCUUCCGCUGGAUGAACAACCUGCUGAUGAGGGAGGUGCCCCUGCGUUGCACCAUCCGCCUGUGGGACACCUACCAGUCUGAACCAGAGGGCUUUUCUCAUUUCCACUUGUACGUGUGCGCUGCUUUUCUCGUGAGAUGGAGGAAGGAAAUACUAGAAGAGAAAGAUUUUCAAAUGUUGCUCCCAGAACCUUAAUGAUCCUUCUUGAGGAUUCAGAUGAUAACCCCUGCUAAACACCAUUGCUCUACAGGCGCAUUUUGCAUAGAACUUGAACUUGAGGCUUUCAGAAUGCGUUCUCUCCUCCCUCCUGUCCUCACAGAUGUGAGGUACUCAACGUUUCCAUGAUGCUUUCCGCGUGAGCAUGGGCCACUUUCCCACAGUCAUCAUGGACUCCAGGGCCCUCUGAGGGUGAAGGCUAAGGGAUCAGUACGUGACUGUGAAGCCAGGACAGAGAAGCAGGCAUAUCGUCUCCAGCAGCAUCAUGGAGACGCCAUACCAUCUCCAGAGGGCUGACAUCUGAACUUAUGUUACAUGAAACAUCAAACCCUUAUGUUACUCUCUCUCUCUCUAUAUAUAUGUAAAUUAUGUAUAUAAUGUACAAGAUUUUUUUCCUUCAGAAUUUCAAAAAUUACUCUAUAUUUAGAGAAUUCUAAUUCUCAGAAUAAAACCUGUUCUGCCACCACUUUAUCAUUAUUGCACUCUUAAUGUGUUUCAUCUGUUGCUUGAUUGGCAUAUAUCUCCAAAUGAUAUCUAAAGAAGGUUACACAGGACAGGAAUUGUGUGUGUGUGAUUGUGUCUGUAGGUGGGGGGUGAUUUUUUGCCUGAUCCUUUCACACUUUAAAAGAUCAACCAAUCGAAUCCAGUCAAACCUGAUUUCCAAAUUACUGGAUUAUAAAGGUUUUAUCUUCAAACCUUGGCAGAAGCAGUGGAUACUGUUCUUCCUGCCCCUUCCUUCUCUGUAAGCAUGCUUUUUUUGUAAAUAGGUCACAAUAUAGAGUCACAGGAAGAAUUGUUAGGACUACAGGCCUAAGAAGAUCUCUCUAAAAAAGUAUCUGUGAGUAUGACUCCCUCAAGCUGGAAGGCUGGGAGGAGGAUUAGGACAUAGGGGAUCCCUCCCUUGUUAGGACUUUCUUUCUUAACUCUACCUCAAGCUCACAUGGAAGCCAGCAUCUUGGUAACCAGUGAGGUUCCAGAGGUGCACGCAGAGCAGUUAGCAUUGGGUGCAGUGGGUCUCAUGAGGUAUCCAAGGUUCUUGUGCAGGCACAGACUUGUGGUCUUGCAUAUGUCAGUAUUUUGUGAGAAAAAUCAUUCAUUCGAGGACAGGACAGGCCUCUCUGCAGCCAGCAGAGGCAGCAGCCUUGGGCUCAGUGCUAGAGUGUUUUUCAUGGACAGGGGAUGUUGAGACUUCCGGGAUCAGGGAUCCCUCCUUUAUUUCCCAGCCUUCCCAAGUCCAUGUCCAAUCCUACCUGUCUGUCAUGACCAAGGGACAGGAGAGUUUGCAAAGGUAAAGCAGAAAAAAGAAAGGAACAUGUGAGAUGCAGCUGAUGUCAUGAAAGCUAACAAGACCCUUAGAGAGAGAGGCAGCCCAUGGAAGGGCAAAGCCUAGGAAUGGCUUCAGGGCUGCAGGUGGUGACAGCUUUGUUGGUUUCUCUUUGACCUCUGAAGACUCUAAGUCUAUCUCCCACAGCCACAUGAACUGGAGAAACCUUAGGCUCCCACCAGGUUCAAGAAAAUCAGACAGCAACUUGACCCACUGAAGUCUUCUCCCCUGAAUCCUCUACAGGGAGCAUGGCCCUGCUGAUUCCUUGGUUUCUGACUUCUGGCCUCCAGAAUUGUGAGAGAAUAAACUGUUGCUUUAAGCCACCAUGUUCAUGGUUAGUUGUUACAGCACAUUUAGGAAACUAAUUCAGGGACUUCAUGCAUUGGUAGGAAUGUAUUAAUAAAAGUGAAUUCAAAUUGUUCAAAGCUGGGGUAAUUUGUGCUGUCAUCUGGUAAUGUUUGUGGAAUUAUCUCUGAUCAGCUAUAAUAGGAAUUAGAAUACAGGGUUCAUUUGGGGCUUGGCAGGCAGUAUGGCCUUGGGGCUAUACUAAGUCAUACUCUCCCUUUGACCCAUUUUAGCAACAGUGGAGCACAGUAGCAAGAUUGUGGGUGCUGGAGCAGGGUCACCUGGUAUAAACCCAACUUUCUGCAAAAACAGGCAGUGACAGAACCUUGGGCAAGUUAAUCAAUCAUCUGUGUUUCAGUUCCAUAAAGUUGGAUGGUAGUAUUUACCUUGUAAUUCAAACAAAACACAUGAAAAACUUAUAAGAAUGUCACAUCAUUAUAAUUAUGAUCAUUGUCAUCAUCAAC